UACAGAGGUCUCAAGCGUUGUUCGGAUUCAUUGGGUUUAAAGGGUGCGUAGGCGGAAUAGUAAGUCAGUGGUGAAAUCCUGUCGCUUAACGACAGAACUGCCAUUGAUACUGCUAAUCUUGAGUACAUUUGAAGUGGGCGGAAUGUGUAGUGUAGUGGUGAAAUACUUAGAUAUUACACAGAACACCGAUUGCGAAGGCAGCUCACUAAACUGUAACUGACGCUGAGGCACGAAAGCGUGGGGAUCAAACAGG
rnacentral:rRNA from 1 species